rnacentral:rRNA from 1 species
UACGUAGGGUGCGAGCGUUUAAUCGGAAUUACUGGGCGUAAAGCGUGCGCAGGCGGUUUUGUAAGCCAGAUGUGAAAGCCCCGGGCUCAACCUGGGAAUGGCAUUUGGGACUGCAAGGCUGGAGUUUGGCAGAGGAGACUGGAAUUCCUGGUGUAGCAGUGAAAUGCGUAGAUAUCAGGAGGAAUACCGAUGGCGAAGGCAGGUCUCUGGGCUAUAACUGACGCUCAUGCACGAAAGCGUGGGGAGCAAACAGG